AUAAAAAAACACUCAAAUGAAACCAUGUACUGCUGUAGGGUAAAAGAUCACCUUUAUGAAUAUUGUGGAGUCAUGUAUCUUAUAACAAUUAUGUUACUUUACUCUUAUUACUUGUAUAAUCUGUGCACAGCAUGUAAUACAGAUGACCAGCUGAUCAGUGGUAAAUCUAUAUCAGGAUCGACCCAUGCUAGGCUUUCCUUUCACCCCUGGGAUACCCCCUGUAAUACUGGGAUUGACCCAUGCUAGGUGAUUCUUUCACCCCUGGGAUACCACCCAACAGAAGCAACUGUAUACAUAUAUCUUCUUAUUACUUUUGAGAUGAAUCUUUGGUGGUCGUAACAUUUGAGCUAUAAGACUAUAAGCAUGACAAAUGACAAGUAUGUGUCCAUGUAACAUCAUAUCAUAAUGAAAAGAGUGGGUUGUACAAUUAGUGAAACAUGUAGGACAUAAACAACGUAUGAACUUUAUUUAGCUAAAAAGAAGACUCAUAUGUCAUGGUACCCAAUGUAUGUAUGCAGCAGUGACAAUGCUCGAAUCUGGACACACAAGUACAUGUUAAAGAGUGGAGUGGUUAUGUCAAAGUUUGUAAAGAUCUCUAUGUGCCAAUGAAGACUUUGGAUUCCAUGCCAAAUAAUAAGAGAUCGAAUAGCCUUACAUACCUCGACAUAUCAACUUGUUUUUACGUCGAAAUGACUUCUUUUCUUCCAACUAUUUAUCU
rnacentral:lncRNA from 1 species